rnacentral:rRNA from 1 species
AGGAAUCUGCCUGGUAGUGGGGGACAACGUUUCGAAAGGAACGCUAAUACCGCAUACGUCCUACGGGAGAAAGCAGGGGACCUUCGGGCCUUGCGCUAUCAGAUGAGCCUAGGUCGGAUUAGCUAGUUGGUGAGGUAAUGGCUCACCAAGGCUACGAUCCGUAACUGGUCUGAGAGGAUGAUCAGUCACACUGGAACUGAGACACGGUCCAGACUCCUACGGGAGGCAGCAGUGGGGAAUAUUGGACAAUGGGCGAAAGCCUGAUCCAGCCAUGCCGCGUGUGUGAAGAAGGUCUUCGGAUUGUAAAGCACUUUAAGUUGGGAGGAAGGGUUGUAGAUUAAUACUCUGCAAUUUUGACGUUACCGACAGAAUAAGCACCGGCUAACUCUGUGCCAGCAGCCGCGGUAAUACAGAGGGUGCAAGCGUUAAUCGGAAUUACUGGGCGUAAAGCGCGCGUAGGUGGUUCGUUAAGUUGGAUGUGAAAUCCCCGGGCUCAACCUGGGAACUGCAUCCAAAACUGGCGAGCUAGAGUAUGGUAGAGGGUGGUGGAAUUUCCUGU